UUGAGUAACGCAAACAUUAGUGAGAAUCCAAUGCCCAGAAAACCCAAUGGUUUCUCUGCAAGGUUCGUCCACGGAGGGUGAGUCAAGCCUUAAGAUCAGGCUAAAAGAUGUAGUUGAUGGACAACAGGUGAAUAUUUCUAUACUACCCCUUGUUGGUCCCGAGGGACGGAUAAGACUAGGUUAGCUGAAAGAUGGUUAUCGGUUCAAGGACACAAGGUGACCCUACUUUUUUAGGGUAAGAAGGGGUAGAGAAAAUGCCCCGAGCUAAUGUUCAAAUACUAGACGCUACGAUGCUAAAGAAAUACAUGCUAUACUCCCAAGAAAAGCUCAAACGACCUUCAACUAAAGGGUACCUGUACCCGAAACCUACACAGGUGGGUAGGUAGAGAAUACCUAGGGUACAAGACAACUUUCUCGAAGGAACUCGGCAAAAUAGCCCCGUAACUUCAAGAGAAGGGGUGCUUCCUUAUAAAGGGGAUCAUAGUGACCAGGCCUAGAAAACUAUUUACCAAAAACAUAAGUCUCCGCAAAGUCGUGAGACUAUGUAUGGGGGCUGACACUUGCCCAGUGCCGGAAGGUCAAUGAAGUUGGUGACCUGAUGACAAGAGAGCCGGUGAUCGAAGCCCCGAUGAACGAUGGCCGUAACUAUAACGGUCCUAAGGUAGCGAAAUUCCUUGUUGGGUAUGUUUUGACCUGCACAAAAGGAUAAUAUUAGAUUCCACUUCAUUGUUAAGGAAUAUGCUAGAGA
rfam:Gossypium hirsutum cultivar TM-1 chromosome 11, whole genome shotgun sequence